rnacentral:rRNA from 1 species
AUUGAACGCUGGCGGCAGGCUUAACACAUGCAAGUCGAGCGGGGUGAUGGUGCUUGCACUAUCACUUAGCGGCGGACGGGUGAGUAAUGCUUAGGAAUCUGCCUAUUAGUGGGGGACAACAUCUCGAAAGGGAUGCUAAUACCGCAUACGUCCUACGGGAGAAAGCAGGGGAUCACUUGUGACCUUGCGCUAAUAGAUGAGCCUAAGUCGGAUUAGCUAGUUGGUGGGGUAAAGGCCUACCAGGGCGACGAUCUGUAGCGGGUCUGAGAGGAUGAUCCGCCACACUGGGACUGAGACACGGCCCAGACUCCUACGGGAGGCAGCAGUGGGGAAUAUUGGACAAUGGGGGGAACCCUGAUCUAGCCAUGCCUCGUGUGUGAAGAAGGCCUUAUGGUUGUAAAGCACUUUAAGCGAGGAGGAGGCUCUUUUGGUUAAUACCCAAGAUGAGUGGACGUUACUCGCAGAAUAAGCACCGGCUAACUCUGUGCCAGCCGCCGCGGUAA